UACGUAGGGGGCAAGCGUUGUCCGGAAUCAUUGGGCGUAAAGAGCGUGUAGGCGGCUAGGUAGGUCCGUUGUGAAAACUCGAGGCUCAACCUCGAGACGUCGAUGGAAACCAUCUAGCUAGAGUCCGGAAGAGGAGAGUGGAAUUCCUGGUGUAGCGGUGAAAUGCGCAGAUAUCAGGAAGAACACCAAUGGCGAAAGCAGCUCUCUGGGACGGUACUGACGCUGAGACGCGAAAGCGUGGGGAGCGAACAGG
rnacentral:rRNA from 1 species